rnacentral:tRNA from 1 species
GCCUGUGUGGCUCAGUGGGUUGAGUGUCUGACUUCGGCUCAGGUCAUGAUCUCGCGGUUGAUGGGUUCGAGCCCUGCCUUGGGCU